rnacentral:rRNA from 1 species
AUUGAACGCUGGCGGCAGGCCUAACACAUGCAAGUCGAGCGGAUGAAGGGAGCUUGCUCCUGGAUUCAGCGGCGGACGAGUGAGUAAUGCCUAGGAAUCUGCCUGGUAGUGGGGGAUAACGUCCGGAAACGGGCGCUAAUACCGCAUACGUCCUGAGGGAGAAAGUGGGGGAUCUUCGGACCUCACGCUAUCAGAUGAGCCUAGGUCGGAUUAGCUAGUUGGUGGGGUAAAGGCCUACCAAGGCGACGAUCCGUAACUGGUCUGAGAGGAUGAUCAGUCACACUGGAACUGAGACACGGUCCAGACUCCUACGGGAGGCAGCAGUGGGGAAUAUUGGACAAUGGGCGAAAGCCUGAUCCAGCCAUGCCGCGUGUAUGAAGAAGGUCUUCGGAUUGUAAAGCACUUUAAGUUGGGAGGAAGGGCAGUAAGUUAAUACCUUGCUGUUUUGACGUUACCAACAGAAUAAGCACCGGCUAACUUCGUG